UACAGAGGUCCCAAGCGUUGUUCGGAUUUACUGGGCGUAAAGGGUGCGUAGGCGGUCGGGUAAGUCUGAUGUGAAAUCUCCGAGCUUAACUCGGAAAUGGCAUUGGAUACUAUUCGGCUGGAGAGUUGGAGGGGGGACUGGAAUACUUGGUGUAGCAGUGAAAUGCGUAGAUAUCAAGUGGAACACCAGUGGCGAAGGCGAGUCCCUGGACAACUUCUGACGCUGAGGCACGAAAGCUAGGGGGAGCAAACAGG
rnacentral:rRNA from 1 species